rnacentral:rRNA from 1 species
CAGUCGCCACGGUAAUACGUAGGUCCCGAGCGUUGUCCGGAUUUAUUGGGCGUAAAGCGAGCGCAGGCGGUUAGAUAAGUCUGAAGUUAAAGGCUGUGGCUUAACCAUAGUACGCUUUGGAAACUGUUUAACUUGAGUGCAAGAGGGGAGAGCGGAAUUCCAUGUGUAGCGGUGAAAUGCGUAGAUAUAUGGAGGAACACCGGUGGCGAAAGCGGCUCUCUGGCUUGUAACUGACGCUGAGGCUCGAAAGCGUGGGGAGCAAACAGGAUUAGAUACCCCUGUAGUCCCUGUCUCUUAUACC